GCCUUCAUGGUGUAGUGGUCAGCCCGCUGGGCGCAUAUUCUAGAGAUCCGUGGUUCGAGUCUCGGCGAAGGCG
rfam:Stegodyphus mimosarum contig67231, whole genome shotgun sequence.